rnacentral:rRNA from 1 species
CCGGGUCAGCCGGUGGGCAAUCCUCCACCCCAUGCUACCACUAUCACACAAGUCUUCCCGUAUCCCCAUCCCACGCAAAAACAAUCCCCAUCCCGAUCCCACGCUGGUGCGGCGCCUCCAUCCCAAUCCCCAUCCCGAUCUCCUUCCCCACCUCCACCUCUAGACGACCCCGACGGCCAGAUCACGCCGGAGCCUGCGGUCCUCCUCCACCUUCAACUCCUCUCCUCUCCGGUUGCGCCGCCACCCUGUUCGUGGUCGAGCCGCGGCGAGCAGCAGAGGACCGCCGCUGGCUCGUCCACAACCAAUCGGCGAGCAGCAGAGCAGAGGACCCCAUAGCUGCCUACCGUGCCAAGCUCCCUCCCUCCUCGUGAACGAAGCCCUACCCCACGGCCAUGGCUAGGUUUGUGCAGUUUUUGCCCAUCUCAUCUGUGUGCAGGUCCCUUCUCUGAGAGGGUGCUGCUCACGCUGGAGGAGAAGGAGGUGC